rnacentral:rRNA from 1 species
UACGAAGGGUGCAAGCGUUACUCGGAAUUACUGGGCGUAAAGCGUGCGUAGGUGGUUUGUUAAGUCUGAUGUGAAAGCCCUGGGCUCAACCUGGGAAUUGCAUUGGAUACUGGCAGGCUUGAAUCCGGGAGAGGGAUGCGGAAUUCCAGGUGUAGCGGUGAAAUGCGUAGAUAUCUGGAGGAACACCGGUGGCGAAGGCGGCAUCCUGGACCAACACUGACGCUGAGUGAGCGAAAGCCAGGGGAGCCAAACGGG